UGUGAGGGCAUAUAGCCCUCGCUUUUCUGUACCGUAAGGUGGUACAGGAACAAGGACUGGGCAAGACCGGUGCCAGCCGCCGCGGUAAUACCGGCAGUCCAAGUGAUGGCCGAUAUUAUUGGGCCUAAAGCGUCCGUAGCUUGCUGUGUAAGUCCAUUGGGAAAUCGACCAGCUCAACUGGUCGGCGUCCGGUGGAAACUACACAGCUUGGGGCCGAGAGACUCAACGGGUACGUCCGGGGUAGGAGUGAAAUCCUGUAAUCCUGGACGGACCACCAAUGGGGAAACCACGUUGAGAGACCGGACCCGACAGUGAGGGACGAAAGCCAGGGUCUCGAACCGGAUU
rnacentral:rRNA from 4 species